rnacentral:rRNA from 1 species
UACGAAGGGGGCUAGCGUUGUUCGGAAUUCCUGGGCGUAAAGGGCGCGUAGGCGGCGUGUCAAGUCAGGCGUGAAAGCCCCGGGCUCAACCUGGGAACCGCGCUUGAGACUGGCAUGCUCGAGUUCGGGAGAGGAUGGUGGAAUUCCCAGUGUAGAGGUGAAAUUCGUAGAUAUUGGGAAGAACACCGAUGGCGAAGGCAGCCAUCUGGACCGACACUGACGCUGAGGCGCGAAAGCGUGGGGAGCAAACAGG